rnacentral:rRNA from 1 species
ACUUGACCAUUUGACCUCAAAUCAGGUAGGACUACCC